rnacentral:lncRNA from 1 species
AUGAGGCUGCUGGAGAGAAUGAGGAAAGAAUGGUUCAUGAUUGGAAUAGUACUGGCGAUCGCGGGAGCAAAGCUGGAGCCGUCCAUAGGGGUGAAUGGGGGACCACUGAAACCAGAAAUAACUGUCUCCUACAUUGCUGUCGCAACAAUAUUCUUUAACAGCGGACUAUCAUUAAAAACAGAGGAGCUGACAAGUGCUUUGGUGCAUAUAAAACUGCAUCUUUUUAUUCAGAUCUUUACACUUGCAUUCUUCCCAGCAGCAGUAUGGCUUUUUCUUCAGCUUUUAUCAAUCACACCCAUCAAUGAAUGGCUUUUAAAAGGGUUGCAGACAGUAGGUUGCAUGCCUCCGCCUGUGUCUUCUGCGGUGAUAUUAACCAAGGCAGUUGGUGGAAACGAGGCAGCUGCAAUAUUUAACUCAGCCUUUGGAAGUUUUUUGGUAAGUAAACAUGAUUUAAUUUGUCUUUUACUUUUGUUGUGA